GUCGACGAGAAACUCCGGGCUUGCUCGGAGGAGUAAAGUGGCGCACGGGGUGAGUAACGCGUGGGUAACCCACCCCUUAAUUCGGGAUAACUCCGCGAAAGCGGUGCUAAUACCGAAUAUUGUCCUAGAGAUAGUGGUCUCCGGGAUAAAAGGUGACCUCUUCAUGAAAGUUGCCGUUGAGGGACGGGCCCGCGUACCAUUAGCUUGUUGGUAGGGUAAUGGCCUACCAAGGCUGCGAUGGUUAGCUGGUCUGAGAGGAUGAUCAGCCACACUGGAACUGGAACACGGUCCAGACUCCUACGGGAGGCAGCAGUGAGGAAUUUUGCGCAAUGGGGGAAACCCUGACGCAGCAACGCCGCGUGAGUGAAGAAGGCCUUCGGGUUGUAAAGCUCUGUCAAGUGGGAAAAAAGCUUUUCGGUGAAUAGCCGGAGGGUUUGAUGGUACCAUUAGAGGAAGCACCGGCUAACUCCGUGCCAGCAGCCGCGGUAAUACGGAGGGUGCAAGCGUUGUUCGGAAUUACUGGGCGUAAAGCGCGUGCAGGCGGUAAGGUAAGUCAGAUGUGAAAGCCCCGGGCUCAACCCGGGAAGUGCAUUUGAUACUGCCUUUCUUGAGUAUGGGAGAGGAGAGUGNAAUUCCCA
rnacentral:rRNA from 1 species